GAUGAACGCUGGCGGCGUGCCUAAUACAUGCGAGUCGAGCGAACGGACGAGAAGCUUGCUUCUCUGAUGUUAGCGGCGGACGGGUGAGUAACACGUGGAUAACCUACCUAUAAGACUGGGAUAACUUCGGGAAACCGGAGCUAAUACCGGAUGAUAUUUUGAACCGCAUGGUUCAAAAGUGAAAGACGGUCUUGCUGUCACUUAUAGAUGGAUCCCCGCUGCAUUAGCUAGUUGGUAAGGUAACGGCUUACCAAGGCAACGAUGCAUAGCCGACCUGAGAGGGUGAUCGGCCACACUGGAACAGAGACACGGUCGAGACUCCUCGGGAGGCAGCAGUAGGGAAUCUUCCGCAAUGGGCGCAAGCCUGACGGAGCAACGCCGCGUGAGUGAUGAAGGUCUUCGGAUCGUAACACUCUGUUAUUAGGGAAGAACAUAUGUGUAAGUAACUGUGCACAUCUUGACGGUACCUAAUCAGAAGGCCACGGCUAACUACGUG
rnacentral:rRNA from 1 species